rnacentral:rRNA from 1 species
AGUGAACGCUGGCGGUAGGCCUAGCACAUGCAAGUCGAACGGCAGCACAGUAAGAGCUUGCUCUUACGGGUGGCGAGUGGCGGACGGGUGAGGAAUACAUCGGAAUCUACUUUUUCGUGGGGGAUAACGUAGGGAAACUUACGCUAAUACCGCAUACGACCUACGGGUGAAAGCAGGGGAUCUUCGGACCUUGCGCGAUUGAAUGAGCCGAUGUCGGAUUAGCUAGUUGGCGGGGUAAAGGCCCACCAAGGCGACGAUCCGUAGCUGGUCUGAGAGGAUGAGGAGCCACACUGGAGCUGAGAGGCGGUCCAGACUCAUACGGGAGGCAGCAGUGGGCAAGAUUGGACAAUGGGCGCAAGCCUGAUCCAGCCAUACCGCGUGGGUGAAGAAGGCCUUCGGGUUGUAAAGCCCUUUUGUUGGGGAAGAAAAGCAGCAGGAUAAUACCCCGCUGUUCUGACGGUACCCAAAGAAUAAGCAACGGCUAACUACGUG